UACACAUAAAUUAAAGAAAACAAAAGCGAGUGGAAAUAAAAGAACAUGGUCCCGCCGGCAAAAAAAAUAAUGAAAAGCUAUAUAACUUGGAGCAGUUCAGAACGCAGAAUCCUUCUGGAAAAGCGCAUUGACAAGGAUGUUUGGUUCAGUUCAAAGAACGCCAACAGCAACCAAGGCUGGAAGUGAGUAAGAAUAUAAAUAAUUUGAAGACUUUAUUAAGCAAAUGACUUCGUACUCCACUGACCAUCCGUGGCGCUUUUUGGGAAUGUGAGUUACAAUUUUUCGAAACGAAGCAGAGGACAACCUAAGAUACAUUUUUGUAGUCUUGUUAUCGCCGUUCAUAAUGCUGCUUAGUAUUUUGGAAUAAACGUCUUGUUGCAUAUACAUAAUACCCUAAAACGACAUAUGUUUUUAUUGGAAACAAUUGUACCCGGUUUAAACAUUUUUGUGAACACACUUACCAGACGAUUUUGACGUGUUUUUUAUUUCUAAUAUUACUGCUAAAAGGUCUAAUAAAUGCAUGGAUUUCAGUUCCAGAAGAAUUGAAAUCAUCAAAGGCAAAUAUUUUCUAUAUAA